AGAGAAUUAGUCCAAGUAUAAGACCUCUGAUUUCGGCUCAGAAAUCCACGGUUCAAAUCCAUGAUUCCCUU
rnacentral:tRNA from 1 species